CCUACGGGUGGCAGCAGUGGGGAAUAUUGGACAAUGGGCGAAAGCCUGAUCCAGCCAUGCCGCGUGUGUGAAGAAGGCCUUCGGGUUGUAAAGCACUUUCAGUGGGGAAGAAAGCCUUGGGGCUAAUACCCUCGAGGAAGGACAUCACCCACAGAAGAAGCACCGGCUAACUCCGUGCCAGCAGCCGCGGUAAUACGGAGGGUGCGGGCGUUAAUCGGAAUUACUGGGCGUAAAGCGCGCGUAGGCGGUCUGAUAAGCCGGUUGUGAAAGCCCCGGGCUCAACCUGGGAACGGCAUCCGGAACUGUCAGGCUAGAGUGCAGGAGAGGAAGGUAGAAUUCCCGGUGUAGCGGUGAAAUGCGUAGAGAUCGGGAGGAAUACCAGUGGCGAAGGCGGCCUUCUGGACUGACACUGACGCUGAGGUGCGAAAGCGUGGGUAGCAAACAGGAUUAGAUACCCUGGUAGUC
rnacentral:rRNA from 1 species